UUUUCCACCUCUUUCACAUCCUAGCAACACAAAUGUCUUCCUCUCAGGUUGACUUGUAGCUUUAUCUGAUCUUAUAGUCACCACAAUAAAUUCUAGAUCAUAUGCAAUCUCUCUUACUCAUUCAACUAAGUUUUCACGAGAGGAAAAAUUUUCAUUUGUUAUUAAACGAUUCGUCAGAUCUCCCUCAACAUCAUUUAUAAAGGACGAAAAAUCUGAUAGCAUGCUAAAAUUUAUUUCAGAAUCCAUCCAUAACUAUAUUUGCCCAUUUAGACUAUAAUCACCUAUAACAAAAUAAAAAAAAUGUUUAAUCAUUUAAGAAGUCCUUAUUUUUGCAUGGAAUCUCAAUUUAGUCCCGUUCUUUUUGAAUUUCUCAAUUGAGUCCCAAUUUUCUGAAAAUUGCAAUAAUUGAAUCAUUUCCGUUAAAUUGGGUUUAGAGUGCUUCUCCCUGCACCUCACCCCUUUCUCCCUGCACCUCCCAAAUUACCAUUUUGUCCCUCAUUUAAUUUAGUCAAACCUCGAUUACUUAAUUAUCUCUGUUUCCUAUCCCCCAUAAGUCUGCCCCUACAACUCUGCCACAUCUCACACAGAAAACCCUACACCCCUUUCUUCGUCUUGCUCUCCUGUGCACUGCUGCUACUGCUAUCUCGCUGCUAUCUCGUUGUUGCCUAUCUCCUGUUUCUCGUUUUUGAAGUUUAUCUCGCUGCAAGUUGCAAGUUAGUAUUUUUCUUCUCAGAUCUGUUUAUGUUGUAGGUUACGAAUCAUCUUCUUUGCUUGAUCUGUGAUUGUGUUGCAUUAUUUUCUCUGUAUAUCAACUGAAACCGUGCUUGAACUGUGCAAAUUUAUAGAACCGCAAAUGGAAGUGCGGUUAAGAAAAGCCGCAGUAUGAAGGGCGGCUGGGUUUUGGGGGUGCCGGUUAUAGAACCGCAAAUGGAACAGCGGUUAAGAAGAGCCGCAGUUCAAACCGCGUCUGAAACCAACCGCCGUUCGAUUUGCGGUUGGUUUGGUUUUGGGGGGUGCAGGGCAGAGACGCAGAUCAGACUGCGGUGUGCGAAAACGUUGCUCGAACAGCGUUGGGUGAAAACGCAGCUUAGACUGCGUUUGUGGGAAACGCAGCUGAGACUGCGGUUUAGCAGUUGCUGCGUUUUUUUUUCCUAUUUUUUUUUUCAAAACGUUGUUUUUUUAAUUUUUAGGUUGUUUGUUAAUUUUUUUUAAGUUUAUAAAAUUUUAUAUAUUAUUU
rnacentral:lncRNA from 1 species